UACAGAGGUGGCAAGCGUUGUUCGGAUUCAUUGGGCGUAAAGGGUUCGUAGGUGGCUCGGAAAGUUGGGUGUGAAAUCCCACGGCUUAACCGUGGAACUGCACUCAAAACUCCCGAGCUAGAGUACGAGAGGGGUAAAGGGAAUUCCCGGUGUAAGGGUGAAAUCUGCAGAGAUCGGGAAGAACACCAGUCGCGAAGGCGCUUUACUGGCUCGUAACUGACGCUGAGGGACGAAAGCUAGGGGAGCAAACGGG
rnacentral:rRNA from 1 species